rnacentral:rRNA from 1 species
GACAGAGGUGCCAAGCGUUAGGCGGAAUCACUGGGCUUAAAGCGUGUGUAGGCGGAAUGGUAAGUACCUUGUGAAAUCCCACGGCUCAACCGUGGAACUGCUUGGUAUACUGCUUUUCUUGAGCCACUUAGGGGCAACCGGAACAAACGGUGGAGCGGUGAAAUGCGUAGAUAUCAGGAAGAACACCAAUGGCGAAGGCAGCUCUCUGGGACGGUACUGACGCUGAGACGCGAAAGCGUGGGGAGCGAACAGG